rnacentral:rRNA from 1 species
GACCCCAGGUCAGGUGGGGCUACCCGCUGAGUUUAAGCAAAUAAAUAAAGCGGAGGAGAAGAAACUUACAAGGAUUCCCUUAAUGCUUGGUAGGCAGGCGGGAUCAUUGGCUUGAGAAUCGGGCGGCUUCGUCGUCUGAAUUGUGCGGAGAAGCGUCCUCGGUGCCGGACCGAGCCCAAGUCCCCUGGAAAGAAGCGGGGGGGGGUGAAGCCCGUCCGGCUCGGACCCUGUCUUUCCACAGUAUUUGUCGGCGAGUCGGGUUGUUUGGGAAUGCAGCCCCAAUCGGGCGGUAAAUUCCGUCAAAGGCUAAAUAUGGGCGAGAGGGCGGAUGGCGAACAAGUACCCGCGAGGAAAGAUGAAAAGGACUUUGAAAAGAGAGUCAAAAGUGCUUGAAAUUGCGGGGAGGGAAGCGGAUGGGGCGGCGAUGCACCUCGGUCGGAUCGCGGCGGCGGUUAGCUGAUCCGCCCCUUCAUUUCGAAGUGCGGAUCGAUGCGGGCUACAUCGGCGGCCGGCGGACGGAUCGUUCAUUCGAGGGAUACCGUCGAUGCGGUCGAGGACAUGGCGCCGCGCCAUCGGCGUGCCAGCGAAGCCCACGUGCGACCUAGGCAUUGGCCGGUGGGGCUCCCCAUCGACUGUCUUGAAACACGGACCAAAGAAUUCGACAUGCGUCGCGAGUCGGCAGUGCGGAACCCGGAAGGCACAAAGGAAGCUAACGGGCGGGAACCCUCGAGGGUGGCACCGCCGGCCGACCGAUCUUCUCGUGAAGGGUUCGAGUUGGAGCAUGCAUGUCGGGACCGAAAGAUGGUGAACUAUGCUGGCGAGGAGAAGCCGGAGGAAACUUCUGGUGGAGGCCCAGCGAUCUUGGCGUCGUGCAAAUCGUUAAAUUCGACUUGGGUAUAGGGGCGAAAGACUAAUCGAACCAUCUAGUAGCUGGUUCCCUCGAAGUUUCCCUCGGGAUGGCUGGAGCCCCGCGGCGCGAGUUCUAUCGGGUAAAGCCAAUUAUUAGAGGCAUCGGUCGCAAUGCCCUCGACCUAUUCUCAAACAUUAAAUAGGUAGGGCCGGUGCGGCUGCUUCAUUGAGCAGCGUCGCGAAUCGAUGAAUCGAAAGCGAUUCACGGUGCCCAUCUCGCGUAACCCGGACACCCAAAGGGUGUUGGUCGAUUAAGAUAGCGGGGCCGGUGGUCAUGGAAGUCGAAAUCCGCUAAGGAGUGUGUAACAACUCGCGUGUCAAAUCAACUAGCCCGAAAAUGGAUGGCAUGAAGCCGCCCAACCCACACCCGGCCAUCGGGCGGCGUAAACCCGAUGGUAGGAGGGCGGUGGUCGCCAUAAAACCAGUAGCGAGCGGCGGAAGCGACCAUCGGUGCAGAUCUUGGUGGUAGUAGCAAAUAUUCAAAUGAGAACUUUGAAGGCGAAGAGGGGAAAGGUUCCAUGUGAGCGGCACUUGCACAUGGGUUAGGCGAUCCCCUAAGGGGCCGGGAAGCCCGUCCAGAAACGUAAUCUCCGGCGAAGCUCAAAGGGAAUCGGGUUAAAAUUCCGAGCACGGGACUUUGACGGCCGGGCCGGCAACGUUAGGGAAGGCGGAAGGCAGCGGCGGGGGCUCCAGGAAGAGUUGUCCUUUACGCUUAACGGCCCGCCCACCCGAAACGGCUCAGCGUAGGUAGGAGUCCAGCGGUCGGAAGAGUGCCGCACAUCGCCUGGCGUCGUCACGACCGGUGCGAUGAGCUAACUGUCCAAUAACUCCAUUUUGGUCCUUGCAACCACGGACCAAAAUGCUUAAAAGGGCGUUCGUAGUACACUCAUUCGAGGCCCUUAUAAGCUAAUCUCAUUCCCCACUUCGAUGUGGGACUAAUGGGAUGUUACAUUAUCCCCAACUCAAUUAGCUUGGCGUCCUCGUCAAGGCCGGACAUAACCGGAUCGAACCCUAGCAUAGUGCAUGUGAGGAUUAACUUCGGUGGUGGCUCCGCCCGUGAUGAGUUCUCGACUCCAUCCACGGGUAGCCCUUUCCUACUCGAGCCCUCUCACACCGCCCCAAAUGCUAGGUGACUCUCGAUACCAAAUAUCACGACCGGUCGAUGAGCUAACUGUCCAAUAACUCCAUUUUGGUCCUUGCAACCACGGACCAAAAUGCUUAAGCGAGGAUGUUACAUUAUCCCCAACUCAAUUAGCUUGGCGUCCUCGUCAAGGCCAGACAUAACCGGUCGAACCCUAGCAUAGUGCAUGUGAGGAUUAACUUCGGUGGUGGCUCCGCCGUGAUGAGUUCUCGACUCCAUCCGCGGGUAGCCCUUUCCUACUCGAGCCCUCUCACCUGCCCAAAUGCUAGGUCGGCUCCUGAUACCAAAUGUCGCGACCGAGAUCGAUGAGCUAAGCGUCAAUAACUCCAUUUUGGUCCUUGCAACCACGGACCAAAAUGCUUUGCGAGGACUUCGUGGUACACUCAUCGAGGCCCUUAUAAGCUAAUCACACACAUUCCCCACUUCCGAUGUGGGACUAAUGGGAUGUUACAGCGUCCGGUCGCCCAAUGACCCCUUGAAAAUCCGGAGGACCGAGUGCCGCCAGCGCCGGUCAUACUCAUAACCGCAUCCGGGUCUCAAGGUGAACGACCUCCGGCCCCAUGGAACAAUGUAGGCAAGGAAUUGGCAAAAGCGGAUCCGUAACCCGGAAAAGGAUUGGCUCGAGGAGGGCUAGACACGGGGGUCCCGACCCCGAACCGUUGUUGGCGGACUGCUCGAGCUGCUCUCGUGGCGAGGUCUUCCAGCGUCUUGGCGGGGAUGGACG